rnacentral:snRNA from 1 species
AUACUUAACCUGGCAGGGGAGAUACCAUAAUCACAGAUGUGCUUUUCCUAGGGUGAGGCUUAUCCUUUGCACUCCUGUUGUGAUGACCACUGCGAGUUGCCCAAAUGUGGGAAACUCAACUGUAUGAUUUGUGGUAUGCGGGAGUGCAUUUGUGCUUCCCCACC